AUGAUGAAAUCCUCGAGAAUUUUGCUAGUGAUCCUGUGGCUUCAGUUAACCUGGAUGAGGAGCCAACAGAAGGGAGUGGAACAGAGUCCCGGAUCUCUGAGUGUUCCAGAGGGAGCCAUUGACUCUCUCGACUGCACUUAUAGUGACCGUUCUUCCCAGAACUUCAUGGGGUACAGACAGUAUUCCCGGAAAGGCCCUGAGUUGCUGAUGUACAUAUACUCCAGUGGUGACAAGGAUGAAGGGAGAUUUACAGCAUAG